rnacentral:rRNA from 1 species
UACGGAGGGUGCAAGCGUUGUCCGGAUUUAUUGGGUGUAAAGGGUGCGCAGGCGGGCUAUUAAGUCUGGGGUGAAAGGCCACGGCUCAACCGUGGGAAGUCCCUGGAUACUGGUAGUCUUGAGUGUGAGACAGGUCGGUGGAAUUCGUGGUGUAGCGGUGAAAUGCAUAGAUAUCACGAAGAACACCAGUGGUGAAGACGGCCGGCUGGAUCACAACUGACGCUCAGGCACGAGAGCGUGGGGAGCAAACAGGAUUAGAUACCCUGGUAGUCCACGCCGUAAACGAUGGAUACUAGGUGUCGUGGACUUAGGUCUGCGGUACCGCAGCUAACGCCUUAAGUAUCCCACCUGGGGAGUACGCUCGCAAGAGUGAA